GAGCGGUAACAGGCGUAUCUAUACGUGCUGACGAGCGGCGAACGGGUGAGUAAUGCUUCGGAAUCUACCCAGUAGUGGGGAAUAACCAUCCGAAAGGAUGGCUAAUACCGCAUACGUCCUACGGGAGAAAGCGGGGGAUCGUAAGACCUCGCGCUAUCGGAUGAGCCGAAGCCGGAUUAGCUAGUUGGUAGGGUAACGGCCUACCAAGGCGACGAUCCGUAGCUGGUCUGAGAGGACGACCAGCCACACUGGGACUGAGACACGGCCCAUACUCCUACGGGAGGCAGCAGUGGGGAAUAUUGGACAAUGGGGGAAACCCUGAUCCAGCGACGCCGCGUGUGUGAAGAAGGCCUGCGGGUUGUAAAGCACUUUUAGUGGGGAUGAAAAGUACAGAGCUAAUAUCUCUGCAUCUUGACCUAACCCAAAGAAAAAGCACCGGCUAACUCUGUGCCAGCAGCCGCGGUAAU
rnacentral:rRNA from 1 species